AUGGGGAGAAAGGCGUCGUGCAUCUCGCUUGUGAUCCUCGUGCUUGUGCUCGCUGGCCUCGAUGCGAAGUCCGCGGCUGGCUACAGCGUCGACCAGGCGGCGAUGAAGCUGGAGGACGGCGUGGCGCCGGAGCUCGGGGUGGUGACGGCGGUGGACCUGGAUGUGCGUCGACACGUUCUCCACAGCAUCAGCCCACAAUACGUGCAGGAGCCCAGCAGGCCAGCCUGCGUCGAGGGGUGCGGGGCGCGCGGAGAGCGGUACACCGGCCGGGAUUGCAAGAAAAAGUACCAGUGCGGUUAA
rnacentral:rRNA from 1 species